ACAGGAGAAUGGGGUUGAGUGGAGAAGAUAGAUCAGUCAUGAUUGAAUGGCGGAGUAGACUUGAUGGGCCGAAUGGCCUAAUUCUGUUCCUAUCACUCAUGAAUAUUAAAAUUAUUAAAAUACUAUAAUGAGAAAGGUAAAGUCCCCAGUUUAAUGCUUGGCUUUAUCAAACUCUGCCUUUGGACUCCCAUUGAAUUCCAUAACUCCAGUACAUAUCUACAUGGGAAUGGCAAAUUGUCAAAUUGCCUGCCUGCCCACUGACAUUAUAAACCUUCAAUGUCAUCAAACCCUGGGCACCUUCCUCAACCUGUAAAAUGUAUGCAAUAUGUGAGAACUGCCAGGAAAUGUCCUCCUUGUAACUCUGCAGUAAACUGCAACUCUACGGAUAAUCGAAGAAACAAGGGAGUUACUUUGAGAUAGUAAAUGGUACAGAAUAUCGGUGAAGUCUUUAGAUUUAAAUUCUGUUUUAAGCAUUUUGGUGACUUGUAAUUGUAUAAAAGUACAAAUAAACAAAGAUAUAUUAUUCAAGUUUGGAAGUGUGGCAUGUAUUCAUGAGCAAUGUUUAGCCAGAGCUCGAAGCAUAAUUUUGGGUUUAGAUUUAUUAUUGUCAUGUGUACAUUGAAAAGACAGGCCCAUACGAAGCUUUUCGAAAAGGGAGGUGGCAUGACAGGUUUACAAACAUUUUAUGUGAAAUCAGUGCACGCAGCGCAUAUCACAAGA